UGAGGCUAGUGCUGUGCUGGAAGCGAAGAUCUCGGGCCUGCAGACAGAACUGUCUUUUCUUUUUCUACCACAGAAAAAGGAGUGUAAUUCUCAGCAGUGUCAUCAUGUCCACAGGAACAAUGCUGGUUUAGUAUAUGCCUGGUCGCCUUCAUCUGUAACAUCUGCAUCAUCUCCAACAUGAAGAUGCUGACGGUGUGUUUGCUGCUGACUGCCAUGCUGGUUCAAACUCAAACUACUCCUCUUCCAGAUACGACGCUACCUCCAUUAAUUACUGAAGAUUUGUCCUCAGGUCAUCAUUUCUAUGAUGACUGGCAUCUAACUUGCCCUGAUGGAUGGACUUCGUUCUAUCACCGCUGUCUCCGCUACGUUCCAACAAAAAUGACUUGGGCUGAAGCUGCGAGAAACUGUGAGACCCUGGGGGGAAGCCUUGCAAUUGUUGCUGAAUAUUUGCAUGGUGACGACAUUCGCGAGGUGAUGUGGCACAGUGGACACACGCGUGGAAAAGUGUGGAUUGGAGAACACCACAGCCCAGAGCAUUACUCUUCCUGGGGCGAUUAUUUUGGUUGGCUUCCAGACUAUUAUCAUGGACACCAUCAGCGUGAUUGUCACCAGAAAACCUUUGGAGAAGAAGACCCUGAUGCUAAGCUACCAUCUGUCUGUAGCAAAUAAUACUCAUUUAAUCCCUGAACGGAAACAGACCCAUAAUUCAUCUGUAAAAAGCAUAAACACCAUCUGAUUUGUGUUUUUGCCAUUAUUCUCUCAUAUCUCUCUAUGAACAUCUGUAUUUCCACUUAGUGCUACAUACAACAUAAACAGUCUUUUAGAUAAGAACGCUUAAUGCUUUCUGCACUUUCUUUGGCAGAGUGAACUGCACUUUCAAAACCUAUGAAAAAUUAAACAUUUAAGCAUCGAAAAAAGA